rnacentral:rRNA from 1 species
CCCUUAGACGUUCUGGGCCGCACGCGCGCUACACUGACACAGGCAACGAGCUUUCCUUUACCGAAAGGUAUGGGUAAUCUUUUGAAACUGUGUCGUGCUGGGGAUAGAUCCUUGCAAUUUUUGAUCUUAAACGAGGAAUUCCUAGUAAGCGCGAGUCAUCAACUCGCGUUGAUUACGUCCCUGCCCUUUGUACACACCGCCCGUCGCUACUACUGAUUGGAUGUUUAAGCGAGGUUCUCGAACUGCUAGCGACUUAGCUUCGGUGAGGUCGCAGUGUGGGAAGUGAACCUAGCUUUGGUGUCUAGAGGAAGUAAAAGUCGUAACA